UACGUAGGGGGCAAGCGUUAUCCAGAUUUACUGGGCGUAAAGCGCGUGUAGGCGGCUGGUUAGGUGUGAUGUGAAAUCUUCGGGCUCAACCCGAAAACUGCAUUGCAAACCGGCCUGGCUAGAGUGCAGGAGAGGGAAGCGGAAUUCCAGGUGUAGCGGUGAAAUGCGUAGAUAUCUGGAGGAACACCAGUGGCGAAAGCGGCUACCUGGCCCAUUCUUGACGCUGAGGCGCGAAAGCUAGGGGAGCAAACGGG
rnacentral:rRNA from 1 species